rnacentral:tRNA from 1 species
AGGGCCUUAGCUCAGUUGGUAGAGCGCCACCCUUACAAGGUGGAUGUCGUCGGUUCGAACCCGGCAGGCCCUACCA